rnacentral:rRNA from 1 species
ACCACCCUAGGUCAGGCGAGAUUACCCACUGAGUUUAAGCAUAUCAAUAAAUGGUAGAAAAGAAAUUUACCAAGAUUCUCCUAGUAAUGGCAAGCAAACUAAAAAGAGCCUAGCUUGAGAGUCGGGCAACCCUAGCAUCCGAAUUGUAGUCUAGAAAAGCAUUUUUAGUGGUGGACUAGGCCUAGCUCCCCUAGAAAAGGGCACCAAAAAAGGUAAAAGCCCUAUUGUGCCUAGACCCUGUCCCAUAAUGAGGUGCAAUCUGUGAAUUAGGUUGUUUGGGAAUGCAACCAAAAUCAAGCAGUAAAUUCUAUCCAAGGCUAAAUACAGGUGAGUGACUGUAGCAAAAAAGUACCAUAAAGAAAAGAUGAAAAGGUCUUUGAAAAGAGAUUCAAAUAGUGCUUAAAAUUGUUAUGAGGGAAGUAAAUGGGGGUUGGCUAUGCUUCUUGGUCAAACAUGGAAUGGCGAGCGCCAAUUUGUAGAUCGACUCAAAGCAUGGACUGAUGCAGGUCAUGGUGGUGGCCUAAGCCUAGGCUUUCGAUAUGCCUAUGGAGAUGUCAUUUUUGUAAAUGUGGAAUGCAACACAAGUCAUCUCAGUGUGCCUGUAGGCUCCCCAUCUAACCUAUCUUGAAACAUGAACCAAGGAAUUUGACAUGUGUGCAAGUCAACAAGCUCGAAAACCCAUAAGGUGCAAGGAAGCUAAUUGGUGAGAUCCCUCAUGGGUGCACCACUGACUGACCUUGAUCUUUUGAGAAAGGUUCGAGUGUAAGCAUGCUUGUUGGGAUCGAAAAGAUAGUGAACUAUGCUCAAGUAGGGUAAAGCUAGAGGAAACUCUGAUGGAGACCUAUAGUGAUAUUAGCGUGCAAAUCAUUCGUUUGACUUGGGUUUAGGGGCCAAAGACUAAUCAAACCAUCUAGUAGCUAGUUCCCUCUGAAGUUUCCCUCAAGAUAGCAGGAGCCCUUAGCAAGUUCUAUAAGGUAAAGCCAAUGAUUAGAGGCAUCAAGGGUGCAAUUCCCUCAACCUACACUUAAACUUUAAAUAGGUAGGAUGGUGUAGCUACUUCAUUAAGUCAUGCCAUAGAAUCAAGAGCUCUAAGUGGGCCAUUUUUGGUAAGCAAAACUGGCAGUAAGGGAUGAACUAGAAGCUGAGUUAUGGUGCCCAACUGCAUGCUAACCUAGAACCCAUAACGGUGUUGGUUGAUUAAUAUAGUAGGAUGGGGGUCAUGAAAGUUGAAAUCCACUAAGUGUGUAACAAUUUACCUAUCGAAUCAACUAGCCUAAAAAUGGAUGGCAUUUAAACAUGCAACCUAUAAGCAACUAUUAAGGCAAGCGCAAAUGCUAGGCCUCAAUGAGUAGAAGGGCAUGGUGGUCACUACAAAACCUGGGGCAUGAGCCCCGUGGAGUAGCCUCGAUACAGAUCUUAGUGGUAGUAGCAAAUAUUCAAAUGAGAAUAUUAAAUGCUAAAAAAGGAAAGGUUCCAUGUGAAUUACACUUGCACAUGGGUUAGUUAAUCCUAAAAGAUGGGGGAAGCCCAUCUGAUUAUGUGUCCAAUGUGAGCUUUAAAAGGGAAUCGAGUUAAAAUUCCUGAACCAGGAUGCAUAGGCUGACGACAAUAUUAGGUAGUCUAGAGGUGUUAGAGGGGGUCUUGGGAAGAGUUAUCUUUUUUAUUUAUGGCCUACUCACCCUAAAAAUGGCUCAGCCAAAGGUAGGGUCCAGCAAUCAAAAGAGCAUCACAAGUCACAUGGUGUUUGGUGUGCCCUCAGCCACCUUUGAAAAUCUGGAGGACCAAGUGCUCUCCAUGCCCGGUCAUAUUCAUAAUCACAUCACUCUCCAAAGAGAACAACCUCUAACCAACGAAAAAAUAUGGGCAAGGGAAGUCGGUAAAAUGGAUCCAUAACCUCAAGAAAAGCAUUGGCUUUAAGGACCAAGCAUGGGGUACUAAUCCCAAACUCAUUGGUUGUUGAAGCACUACUUGAGCUACUCUUAUCGCAAUAGUGGGUCAUUGUGUGCUGAUCAAGGAUGGACUUGGAAAGGCUUCCAUGAGGGCUUUCCCCGGGUAAUGAAUAGUUGACUCAAAAUUGAUACGAAUAAAAGGAAUCUAACUAUUUAAUUAAAACAAAGCAUUACAAUGGUCACUACGAAUACUCAUGUAAUGUGAUUUUUGCCUAAUGCUCUAAAUGUCAAAGUGAAGAACUCAACCAAGUGAGGGUAAAUGAUAGGACUAACUAUGACUCUUUUAUGGUAGCCAAAUGCCUCAUCAUCUAAUUAGUGAGCACAUGAAUAGAUUAACACAAUUCCCAUUGUCCCUAUCUACUAUCCAAUGAAGCCAUAAUCAAAGGAAUGGGCUUGGCAAAAUUAAUAGGGAAAAAAGACCCUAUUCAGCUUGACUCUAGUCCAACCUUUUGAAAUGAAUUGAGAGGUGUAGGAUAAAUGGGAGCCCUAAGUCAAAAUUGAAAUACCACAACUUUUAACACUAUUUUACUUAUUCCAUGAAUCAAAGGCAGGGCAAAACCACUUCUAUUUGGCCUAAGACCAACCUUGAUUGAUCAAUUAAGGUAAAAGACAUUGUUAGGUGGGGAGUUUGGUUGGGGUAACACAUCUGUUAAAAAAUAAUGCAGGUGUCCUAAGAUGAGCUCAACAAGAAUAAAAAUCUCAUAUGGAACAAAACGAUAAAAGCUUAUUUGAUUUUGAUUUCCAGUACAAAUAAACUAUGAAAGCAUAGCCUGUUAAUCCUGUAACCCUUCAGAAUUUGAAGCUAUAGGUGUUAGAAAAGUUAUCAUAAGGAUAGACAAGUGUUCAUAGUGAUGUUGUUUUUUAAUCCUUCAAUGUUGGCUCUUCCUAUCAUUGUGAAGCAAAAUUCACCAAGUGUUGGAUUGUUCACCCACCGAUAAGGAAUUGAGCUAGGUUUACACCGUCAUGAGAUAGGUUAGUUUUACCAUACUAAUGGUAGCGUCACAAUAAUAAUUCAACCUAAUACAAGAGGAAUCAUUGAUUCAUGCAUUUGGUUAUCCCACUUAGUUGAAAAGCUAGUGGCAUGAAGCUACCAUGCAUUUGAUUAUCAUUGAAUGCCUCUACAUUAGAAUCUAGGUUAGAAGGGACACAUGCAUCUAUCACCCAACUAUUGACCAGUAGUAGGGCUUAUGCCUUGAAGGGCACAUGUCAUAGGUGUAGCACCCGUAGCAAACAAGCCAUAUGGGCCUCCUUA